rnacentral:rRNA from 1 species
UACGUAGGGGGCAAGCGUUGUCCGGAUUUAUUGGGCGUAAAGAGCGUGUAGGCGGCCAGGUAGGUCAGCUGUGAAAACUCGAGGCUCAACCUCGAGACGCCGGUUGAAACCAUCUGGCUAGAGUCCGGAAGAGGAGAGUGGAAUUCCUGGCGUAGCGGUGAAAUGCGUAGAUAUCGGAAGGAACACCGGUGGCGAAAGCGGCACGCUGGGCCUCUUCUGACGCUGAGGCGCGAAAGCCAGGGGAGCAAACGGG